rnacentral:rRNA from 1 species
AUUGAACGCUGGCGGCAUGCCUUACACAUGCAAGUCGAACGGUAACAGGUCUUCGGAUGCUGACGAGUGGCGAACGGGUGAGUAAUACAUCGGAACGUGCCUAGUAGUGGGGGAUAACUACUCGAAAGAGUGGCUAAUACCGCAUGAGAUCUACGGAUGAAAGCAGGGGAUCGCAAGACCUUGUGCUACUAGAGCGGCCGAUGGCAGAUUAGGUAGUUGGUGGGCUAAAAGCUCACCAAGCCGACGAUCUGUAGCUGGUCUGAGAGGACGAUCAGCCACACUGGGACUGAGAAACGGCCCAGACUCCUACGGGAGGCAGCAGUGGGGAAUUUUGGACAAUGGGCGCAAGCCUGAUCCAGCAAUGCCGCGUGCAGGAUGAAGGCCUUCGGGUUGUAAACUGCUUUUGUACGGAACGAAAAGCCCCGGGUUAAUACCCUGGGGUCAUGACGGUACCGUAAGAAUAAGCACCGGCUAACUACGUGCCAGCAGCCGCUGUAA